rnacentral:tRNA from 1 species
UCCGAGGUAGUUCAAUUGGCAGAACGCUGGCCUUUGGAGCCAGAUGUUGGAGGUUCGAGCCCUCCCCUCGGAG